rnacentral:lncRNA from 1 species
AGGGGUCACUUCCGAAAGACCACUGAUAACAUAUUAAUUUGGGCACAAGGAUGUCUGGAGGGAGUAAAAGGCACAGAGGACACCUUAGUGUACUUGUGUCUCCCUUUCCUUUAGAACCCUGUCAAAGGAAGGGGCUGAUUCUUGGCACCUAGCCCAAAAAGGCAAGACCAGGCCACACUCGAUACAAGGUGCUUCACUGGCUGUUACCACCAACCCCAGAAAACCACUAGUAUCUUAUAAAAUGAUAAGAGCAAAGCUAAGCAGUUUAAAACUCAGGUUGACUAAUAUAUUUAGAGUGUUCAAAUGCAUGCACUCAUAGCCAGCAGCACAAGAUCCGGAGGCCCCUGACACCUGGUGAUUUUAAAUUCCAUCAAGUUGGCAAGUAAGAUAAACCAUUACAAGACUUCAUGAAAUUAAGCCUCUGAGAGACAGGAGAAACAAGUGAAAAGCUCCAGCUCCUACUCAGGCUCAUGCUUCUCUCUGUCUUCUACUUAUGGUUCCAGAUGGAGCUUCAGCUACUUCUUCAGCAUCAUGCCUGCCUGCCUUCCUGCCAUUGUGUUCCCCACCAUGAUGAAAACAGAUUUGUCUUUGAAACUUGUCCCCAAUUAAAUGCUUUACAAUAU